GCCUUGCUGGGUGGCAGUACAAUAGAAAGAGUACAGACCACAAGAAAUUCAUCUCCACCUGAAAAAGGGACUGGAAUAGAGUGUGCAGAUUCAUAAUUGAAAACAAGAGCAAAUGAAGCCUUAGUGGGGGAUAUUACAGGCUAUUAAUCAUAAUAAAUACGUUUGGCAAUGUUAGGUUUGCAUUCUAUAGUUUUCAGUUAAAAAAAAUCAAAGUCGGUGAUUAGAAGAGGAAAUAGUUCUUUGGCUUGUGAGAGGCUGGGCUGUGCUUGUUCAUUAGUUCAAACCGCAUUAAAAGUGAGCAGUUUGUUCCAGAAUGAAGUAUGUCGUUCCCAAGCAGAUUUGAAUACAUCCACGUCCAAAUGCAAUCUCGGGUUCAUGCCACAAUUGCUUGGCUUUUUCUGAACAUCUCAGCUUCAGCACGGAAACUCAAGUGCUAAGAAUUUUAUUUUACGUUGUUACGCUGCUCACCCAUUGCUGCUGGCAUCUUGGCUGUGGAUCACUACUGUGCCUACACUGCAGCCCCAUCAAGGUGAAGCUCCUUGGAAAAUAGAAACCCAGUGCAUUUUAACCAAAAGGAGCUUGAACAGCCUCAAAGUUUGUAGCUGAGAAAGCUGCUAAUUAUGCUUGUCGUAAAACAUAUCUGAGUGGAAGGGUUUGAGUCCAAACAGAAUGGAGGGCUACUUUAGAAAUAUAACUGUAGUCCGUGCUUGUAAAGAGGUUUAUUUUUACUUUGGGGCCACGGAGGGGGUGAUUGGAAUUAGUAGCCUUUAAUUAGACGGGGAGAUAUUCAAAUUUUACAGGGAUUUAUGUUAGAACAUGGAAUGGCGGUGGCUCUUUCCUCAUUAUGAAUCCUCCCUGCACAUAAUGAGGUUCAUCAUUAGUUGAUGGAGUGAAUUUGCCCUAGCUCUACCUUGAAAGGCACAUAAUUUACAUACUACUUCAGAGCCUAAGCUUUAAUGGAUUCCUCGAUGAAUAAAAUGAAAAGCUACUUUCUUUAAAUUUUUGAACACUGUUUAGAUAAUACGAUUUUAAUAAGACAUUCAAUUUGCUUGUUAAGUAUAUUUGAAAGUGCUUUUUUUUUUUUUUUUCUUUUUGGGAAAAACAUAUUUUGGCUUGCCUUGCUGUAUAUCACAGUGGAUGGUUCCCCUCACAGAUAAAUGGGAGAACAUAUGGGGUAUGUCGUUAAGAAAUGGGGAGAAUCUUAGGCAGAGAGCUUUUUCAGCACGUGAGCCUCAAGAAUAUUAUUUUUGUGUAGAAACUCUUCUGACAUGAACCGAUGAUAACAAAAAGGUUUGAAAACAAGCUUCUUAUUUGUAUAUGGUUUUGCAUAUCUAAAACGUGCGUGCCUCUUCGUUCCAGCCCAUGCUGACAGAAUCGCUCGCUGCACCUUCUGAUUUAUUUUAAUGAUGAAAGAGCAGAAACUUCCCUGGUGCAGCUGCCAGUUUGAAACAGCAGCCGUGUAGCCAUGGUCCGAUGAGGGGGUGUGGAAUUUGGAGGCUGUCUCCUGGGUUAUCAGGGCAUCAACUUGGGAGCGUUCUGGUCUACCCCGUACAUUCAGCAAGUUUUCUGGCUCUCUCACUCCUCCGUCUCUUGAUUGGAAUGCGGAGAAAAUCAGCUUUGACUCGGCAUGAUUUGAACACGGAUGUCUUUUCAAUAAAGGGGCGGGGGUGGGUUUGGUAAUAGCCUGUUAUUGAACAUGUCCUUUACUGGUUUGAGACAGGUCGCCCCUACGUUGUUAUCAUUACUGCAAGUGGAAACAGGUUUCUGGUGGUUUGUCACAUUCAGGAACAGGAGAGGUGUCUGAAUAUAAGCGAAACCUUGUUUUGAUAGAAUGCUUUAUUACCUGAAAAUGAUCAGCAUAUAUUAACAUUAAUAGAAUAGUCCAUGUCAUUCUUUUUUAGGUAAUUUACCUCUGCUACAGACCUGUCUACAGAGGGGGGGGAAUCUUCCUCUCUUCUAAAACAUAUAUUUGUUUAGAGAGUUUUCACUGAAGUGUACAUGACAAUUACAGCUGUUCAUUAACAAAAUUGGGUAUUUGUUUUAAACUUUAACCAAUCACUUUGAUAUGCUAAUUAUGGUGUAAUUUAAUUUGAGCCCUGUAAUGAUGAUGCCGUUAUUAUGGACAUAAAUGAUGCAGUUAAGCUGAGAGUAAUCUCAUUUGCAUACUGUACAUGCCAGUAAAUUAAGCCCUUUCUUCGACUGCUUCAGCUUUAAUUUUCCACUUCUUUUCACACAGCUCCUUUUCAGCCCCUCUCUUAUAAGCCCACUUUGUAAUAGUCCUGAUGACUGUUUGAUGUGAAGAGUUUCUGCACCACAAUAAUGCAGGACAGAAGAUGUAACAUUUAAAGGAUUCAUUAUCUUGCUGAGUGUUCCUUUAAGAAGGAAGGAUUAGAGAGGGUGAGGGGAGACGAUGUGUCCUUUCCCUGGGAUCUGACAGCCCCCCGUUAAAGUAAUUGGAGAUGCCGAAUGCUCUCCACUCACCCCACAAGUCAGACGUGGGACCCGUUAUUUAUAAAUGAUUUUUUUGUCUUUCUCCACCAUACUGUAGUUUACUGUCACAAAUCAUGUUGCAUUCAGCAGCAGAGCCUGUGGCCACUGCCCUCUGUGAAGCUGGAAGCCCGCAGGGUGGCUUUCCAGAGCCUGGGUGACCCGGUGAGGGAUCCAGAGAUCCAUCUGAAGCCGAGAAUGCCAAGGGCAUAGCUAAAGUCUCCUGAGCGCUGAACGGGUUCUCCCGGGGCUCGCGCUGAAGCCACUGGGAGUUGAGUGGGUGUAACGGAGGACUGAAUUUAGCUCUGGCUUUUUAAAAGGGUCAGAGGCCUAAAAAUAGUUCAAGCCGCUUAACUCCUGCAGGCUACUUCCUUCACAGAUGGGAGAGUAGAAAAAAAGAGUCAUAGGCUGUGUCCAUCCUCCUUUCUUGGAACUAAAAGCCUUGCCCUUCCUUUCAAAGGGUUUUCCAGUCCUAUACCCCUGGCCCCAGACUUCUGUUAUUUGAUGUCUAUCGCUUCCCCUAAGCCAUCCUCCAUCUAGUAUCCUGGCAGGCAGGUUUGGUCAUGGUCAGGCACACACAGGGCUUCCUCGUUCUGGAGGCGGUGACAGUAGGGAAUGUCUGCCUCCCUUUGGAAAUCUUGAUGCAGGUGAACAACUGCUUUCCCAGUUUGUUGUUUGUUUGUUUGUUUGUUUGUUUAAGGGGGCCGCACCCACAGCAUAUGGAAGUUCUAGGCUAGGGGUUGAAUCAGAGCUGCAGCUGCCGGCCUGCACCACAGACACAGCAACACCAGAUCUUUCACCCACUGAGCGAGGUCAGGAAUCGAACCUGCAUCCUCAUGGGUACUAGUCAGGUUCGUUUCCACUGCACCACAAUGGAAACUCCCCCAGCUGUUUUUGAAUUAAGCAGAUGCUGACACAUUGUCAAUAAGAUGUCAGGCUGUUUAUUUCAGAACACUUGAAACUUAAGGAAAAGUGUAAACCUUUAAGGGCUUUUUCCUCCCCUUCCUCCCCUUUAUGUAAUUUGAGAAUUACCAUAGGAUGCAAAGAUGUGGAAAAAGCUUGUAAACAUACUUAUGUGUGGCUCUUGUUCUAUAUGCAGUAUUUUAUUUUGCCAAAAUGGGGAAGUUUUUUUGUUUACAGUAUAAUAUAGGGAGAUGGAGGAAGAAGAAAUGAUUUUGUGUAAUACUGUAAAACAUACUCAUUUUUAUUAAAUAAUAGAAACUAGACUUUUUUCUGUUCACACCAAGCCCCUAACCCAGCAGACAUGCACAUGGUGAAUUUUGCUGUUUCUAGAAAGGUGAGCAAACAAAGGAUGAACAGUACCACAGAAAAAUAAGCUCCUUGAAGGUCAGGGAUAUUUAUCUGAAUUUCCAGCACUUGGAAUGGUGCCUUGCACAUAGUAGGUGUUCAAGAUGUAGUUCCUGAUUGAAUCAGUGUGCUUGUUAUGCCUAUAGGCUCAUGAGCAUCAAAUGAGAAAAUGAGAAAGAACAUGCUCUCUAAAAUAAAGCCUUUAAAUAUGCAUGAUGAGUUCCCUGGUGGCUCAGUUGGUUAAGGGUCCAGCUUUGGCACUGCUGUGGCUCAGAUUGCCUGCUGUGACACAGCUUUGAUUGCUGGCUCUGGGAACGUCCACAUACCUCAGGUGCAGCCAGAAAAAAAAAAAAAUGCGUGAUGGUAGUUAGAUGGUAAACUGGCAAACCUCAUCAUGCCACAUCCUUCCUCUGAUCACUUCUCCAUGUAAGAGCUGGUCACAGGUAUUUGCCGUUAGGCAGGAGUAAUCAUAAAUAGAAAGCACCUCAGCCCACAAUAUUGAUGCAUUUCUGUAAUGAUCAUAACAACUAGAGGCACUAUUAGCCUCACCUUUUUAUUUUUUACCUUAAAUUUUUAAAAAAAUUGACAUGUAGUUGAUUUACACCACUGUAUUCAUUUUAAGCAAAGUGAUUCAACUAUCCACAUAUGUGUAUAUGUGUAUAUUCUUUUUUUUUCCCCAGGGCCACACCCACAGCAUGUGGAGGUUCCCAGGCUAGGGGCUGAAUCAGAGCUGCAGCUGCCGGCCUACACCACAGCAACAGCAACACCGGAUCCAAGCCGUGACUGCAGCCUAUACCACAGCUCAUGACCAUGCCAGAUCCUUAACCUACCAAGCGAGGCCAGGGAUCAAACUUGCAUCCUAGUCAGAUUUGUUUCUGCUGCGCCACAGCGGGAACCCCCUUUAUAUUAUUUUUUUUUAUUCUUUUCCAUUAUAGUUUAUUGUAAGAUGCUGAAUAUAGUUCCUGGUGUUAUACAGUAAAUCCUUGUUGUUUACCUAUUUUAUAUUUAGUGGUGUGUGUCUUUUAAUCCCAUCCUCCCACUUUAUCCCUCCCUCACCACCUGCACUUUCCUUUUGGUAACUGUAAGUUUGUUUCCUGUGUCUGUGAAUCCAUUUCUGUUUUGUAAAUAAGUCCAUUUGUACUCUUUUUUUUAAAGAUUCUACAUAUAAGUGAUAUAAUGGUCUUUCUUUGACUUUGGCUUCACUUACUAUGAUAAUCUUUGUCCAUCCAUGUUGCUGCAAAUGAUAAUAUUUCAUUCUUUUUUAUGGCUGAGUAAUAUUCCACUGUAUAUCUGUACCACAUCUUCUUUAUCCAGUUCUCUGUCCCGGGACACUUAGGUUACGUUCAUGGCUUGGCUGUUGUAAAUAGCCAUGCCCUGAACUUUGGGGUGCAUGUAUCUUUUCAAUUUAGCAUUUUCAUCUUUUCUGAAUCUACGCCCAGGAGUAGGUUUGCUGGACCAUAUGGCAACUCUGUUUUUAGUUUUUUUAAGGAAUCUCCAUACUGUUUUCCACAGUGGCUGCACCAAUUUACAUUCCCACCAACAGUAUACAAGGGUUCCCUUUUCUCCACAUCCUCUCCAGCAUGCAUUUGCAAUAUUAGUCUCAUCUUUUAGAUGUGGACACUGUGAUGCAAAUGAAGCCUCAGGUCCCCAGCUGUAGGGCUGGAACCACGAUGUGUCCUCCUUCAGGAAAACUCCAGGGUCCUCACUCCUGGCCACUGCACUUCAGCCUUGGUUUUCACUGUAGACAGUGGAGUAAAAUAGAGUGUUACUGUGGAGUGUGCAGAAGUGUAUAUAAGUAUAUGGAUACACUGCUCCACUGUAUCUCAGGUGUGUUUUGUGUGUACAUUUCCUGCACCACUGCAGCUAAGCUCUUCACAUUGCAUUUUCAUUGCUGCCCAGCAAGGUAACUAUUAUUUGUCACUACUUACUGAUGAGGAAACCGACAUUCCCUCAGAUUAAAUAACUUGCUCACAUGGGUAGGAAGUGACCAAAUGGGCUUUGAUCCCAAGCCCCUCUGCCUCUAGUGCCCUUGCUCACUCAAUCACCACUGCAUGCUUCUCGCUAAGCUCUAUACCUUGAGAGCAGUUUGUGCUCCCGAGAGUGUUAACUUAUUUUUGAGAGUUUGUGGUAUUUAAGGCCUUUGUUAUUUAUCUUGCAUGUAGGGGAUCUAGACUUUAAAUACGUGCUCUGAAUAACUGAGAUGUCUCCUAAUUUCCCAUGGUGCGAUGUCAAUUCCUGGCAGGAAGCCAACUUCUCUUCACACCUCCUGCCACCCCCUUAUCCCGCCCCAAACUUACAAACUAGACUGUUGUUAAAUUCUUUCCAAGAAGGCAAGUGCUGUGCUGCUUCCUUCCCUGUGAUUGAAGUUUUGUUUUUUUUUUUUUGCUUUUAUCUUGACAGGUGACAGAGUGACUAUCAGCUGUAGAAUUUAUAGAUCUCUGGGUCUGUAGAUGUUUGCACGUGUCCCCGUGACAUGGACGUGGACAUCGCAGAGUCUUACUUAUCUGUAUUGUAGGCCCCAUGUCUAGGAAGCAGUGGGACCAUGUCAAGGAAACACCACACUUGCUUAGUCUCAAAGUCCUUUCCCAGCUCAGUCCCUCUGCCCCCAUCUCUCAGCAGUCCCACUUCAGCAUCUAAAGUGAAAGUGAAAUGGACAGUAUCCCUCUCCCUUAUAUCCAGAAUCUCUCCCAGAAUCUUGCAAUGCUCAUUGCCUACAGGUCCAGUAUGGGAGCCACUAGCCAGAAGGGGCUGCUGAGCCUUUAAAGUGUAGCUAGUCCAAAUCUACGUGCCAUCUGUAUAAAGUACACACUGGAGUUCAAAGACUUGGGUUUAUAUUCUUUUUUUUUUUUAACUAUCUCAUUAACCUUUAUAUUGAUUGUAUGUUGCAAUUAAAAUAUUUUGGCUCUGUUAAGUUAAAAGAAAUAUAUUUUUAUGAGACUGAUGUGCUACCUACUGCACCAACAAGGCACCUGAAGAGAAAUAUACUUUUAAAAGUAAUCCCUACUGUUUCUCUUUGUUGUUUUUCUUCUAUGUAUUUAUUUUUCAUUUUUUGGCCACGCCUGGGGCAUACAGAAGUUCCCUGGCCAGGGAUCAAGUCCGAGCCUCAGCUGUGACCUAUGCCACAGCUGUGUCAAUGCCAGAUCCUCAACCCUCUGUGCCAGAGUAGAAACUCAAAGUUUUACAUGUUGCUGGAAGAUAUUUUAAGAUUGCGUAUGUGGCUCGCCUUAUGUUUCUGCAAGACUGUACAGUUGAGUAUAUACAUACUUGAUCUCUGUACAUGAUAACUAGUAGACCAGGUGUGGUAGCCCAGGAUAGAGAGCUGGUGAGCAUGCUCCAUGGAGGCCCUGGCCUGCAUCAGUGACUCAGGAUAUACUUGGGGGUAUAGCCCCAGAGAGCAAUAUUUCUUCCUGGAGGACACUAAAGAAAUACUCCCUUUGGGUAUUUCAAUACUAUAGCCUUCCUAAUCACAUUGGACAUAUACCACUUACCACACUAUUUCAAAAACUUGGACUUGCCAAGUGUUUCUAUAUCCAGCUGGUGCCUUUGAAGCCAGUAUAUCUUGGCUCCUCUAUUCUAAUGAUUCCAUUAGCAUAGGUCAUCAGAGAGGAGAGGAUGGGGUUCUGUGAAUGUUCUAGAUGACGGUCUUUGCAGGGCUUGGAUAACCUGGAACUGGAACUGGUACACUAGUGUAGACCCCUAUUGGGGCAUGUCUGUGAUUUUCUUCUUAGAUGCAUUUGUUUCUGUGGUGCUCUCAGAUAGUCUUCACCUAGCACAGGUAUCUCUUGCCUUAAGUAAACUUUAAUUGAUAAAAACUAUAUGAAUGUACAUUAUUCAACAAGUAUUGAUUAGGAAGCUAUCUCAUUAGUCAUGGUAGGCUCCUUGCCUUCAGAGAGCUCAUUCUGUAUGUAGAUAAAUAAGAAAUGUCAUAGAUAACUCCAGCUUAAACCAUGAAAAUUUAGAGUUCCCCUUGUGCUAAGUGGGUUAGGAACCCAACACAGUGUCCCUGAGGACCUGGGUUCAAUCCUGGCCUCACUCAGUGGGUUAUGGAUCUAGAGUUGCUGCAAGCUGUGGCGUAGGUCACAGAUGCUGCUUGGAUCCUGCGUAGCAUAGGCCCGCAGCUGCAGCUCCAAUUCAACCCCUGAACCGGGAACUUGCACAUGCCACAAGUGUGGCUCUAGACAGAAAGAAAAAAAAAAAAAAAAAAAAAAAAAAAAA
rnacentral:lncRNA from 1 species